rnacentral:rRNA from 1 species
CAAUAGCGUAUAUUUAAGUUGCUGCAGUUAAAAAGCUCGUAGUUGGAUUUCGGGUGGGAAUGGCCGGUCCGCCGUUUCGGUGUGCACUUGCUACGCCCACCUUGCUGCCGGGGACGUGCUCUUGAGUUCACGCUCGGGACACGGAGUCGGCGAGGUUACUUUGAGUAAAUUAGAGUGUUCAAAGCAGGCCUACGCUCUGAAUACAUUAGCAUGGAAUAACACGAUAGGACUCUGGCCUAUCUUGUUGGUCUGUAGGACCGGAGUAAUGAUUAAGAGGGACAGUCGGGGGCAUUCGUAUUUCAAUGUCAGAGGUGAAAUUCUUGGAUUUAUGAAAGACGAACUACUGCGAAAGCAUUUGCCAAGGAUGUUUUCAUUAA